UGGAGGAUAAUCUCGAGAAAUUGAGGAUAAUACUCCAUAGAUCAUGAAUUCUGGAACGACUCAUGGUCAAAAGUUCCGGCGCUCUAGGAUCGGUCUGCGGCCUAUCAGGUAGUAGUGGGUGUAACGGACCCACUAGCCGACGACGGGUAUGGGCCUUGAGAGAGGGAGCCCAGAGAUGGAAUCUGAGACACGAUUCCAGGCCCUACGGGGCGCAGCAGUCGCGAAAACUUCACAAUGGAGGCAACUCCGAUGAGGGAAUUCCAAGUGCUAGCACAUUAGUGUUAGCUUUUCUUAAGCGUAGAUAACUUAAGGAAUAAGGGCUGGGUAAGACGGGUGCCAGCCGCCGCGGUAAUACCCGCAGCCCAAGUGGUGGUCGAUUUUAUUGAGUCUAAAACGUUCGUAGCCGGUUCAUUAAAUCCUUGGGUAAAUCGGAUGGCUUAACUACCCGAAUUCCGGGGAGACUGGUGAACUUGGGACUGGGAGAGGCAAGAGGUACUUUUGGGGUAGGGGUAAAAUCCUGUAAUCCUAAAAGGACCACCGGUGGCGAAGGCGUCUUGCUAGAACGGAUCCGACGGUGAGGGACGAAGCCCUGGGUCGCAAACGGGAUUAGAUACCCCGGUAGUCCAGGGUGUAAACGCUGCAGACUUGGUGUUGGGGACCCUUCGGGGGUGUUCAGUGCCGGAGAGAAGUUGUUAAGUCUGCUACUUGGGGAGUACGUCCGCAAGGAUGAAACUUAAAGGAAUUGGCGGGGGAGCACAAUUCAAUGUUC
rnacentral:rRNA from 1 species